rnacentral:snRNA from 1 species
AUGCUCUCUUUGGCAGCACAUAUCCUAAAAUUGGAACUCUACAGAGAAGGUUAGCAUGGCCCCUNUGCAAGGAUGACACACAAAUUCAUGAAGCAAUCCAUAUUUCU